rnacentral:rRNA from 1 species
CCUACGGGAGGCAGCAGUAGGGAAUCUUCCACAAUGGGCGAAAGCCUGAUGGAGCAACGCCGCGUGGGUGAAGAAGGUCUUCGGAUCGUAAAACCCUGUUGUUAGAGAAGAAAGUGCGUGAGAGUAACUGUUCACGUUUCGACGGUAUCUAACCAGAAAGCCACGGCUAACUACGUGCCAGCAGCCGCGGUAAUACGUAGGUGGCAAGCGUUAUCCGGAUUUAUUGGGUGUAAAGGGAACGCAGGCGGUCUUUUAAGUCUGAUGUGAAAGCCUUCGGCUUAACCGGAGUAGUGCAUUGGAAACUGGGAGACUUGAGUGCAGAAGAGGAGAGUGGAACUCCAUGUGUAGCGGUGAAAUGCGUAGAUAUAUGGAAGAACACCAGUGGCGAAAGCGGCUCUCUGGGCUGUAACUGACGCUGAGGUUCGAAAGCGUGGGUAGCAAACAGGAUUAGAUACCCCAGUAGUC